GGAUUAGAGUCUUUCUGACUUUUUAUGUUUAUCUUAUCGAUUCAAAGUUUAUAUGUGAAAAUCCAGGAUGGGGAUAUUUGGCUCACAGAGCAGCACUACGAGUGGCUAAAGACAAGACAGAAGCUGGGAUUACUCACAUGGAUGAAAUGUCGCUCUUGUAUAUGUGAAAGAGCCAUGGUUCUGGGAACAGGUAAACUUUACUUUCACCAGGCUCACUUAGGACAGCUUUCUAUUUGUGCCUUUGAGGAAGAGCAGCUGAAACAGUUUGAAUAGUUGUUUCUUUUUAAGACAAAAACUAGCAUCUGCUGCUAUGAUGGUAAUAGUCAUAGAAGCAGAGGAUUUCAGACCAUUCUGCUGGUACAGUCUCCUGCACCUAUUCUCUGGGUCCCUAAGAAAUCUCUAAGAACUAUCUAGUUAGCAACUAGCCACCCUGGUAGAGAUCACUAAUAUUAAUAAUUAUGAACACCUCCAAAACCUUACACACACACACACACACACACACACACACA
rnacentral:lncRNA from 10 species